rnacentral:rRNA from 1 species
UACGAAGGGGGCUAGCGUUGUUCGGAAUCACUGGGCGUAAAGCGCACGUAGGCGGAUCUUUAAGUCAGGGGUGAAAUCCCGAGGCUCAACCUCGGAACUGCCUUUGAUACUGGCGAUCUCGAGUCCGGGAGAGGUGAGUGGAACUGCGAGUGUAGAGGUGAAAUUCGUAGAUAUUCGCAAGAACACCAGUGGCGAAGGCGGCUCACUGGCCCGGUACUGACGCUGAGGUGCGAAAGCGUGGGGGAGCAAACAGG